CCCGUUCCGCCUCUGGUUUGGCGUUUGUCCUUGUCUCAGUCCACACCCUUCCCCUCAGGGUCACCUCUCAUUGUUACCGCCAGCGCUCUCCGGCUGACUGCGCCCCACUCUCCCAGCUCCCAGGCAGGCAGGGAGUUGCCCGAAGUUCGACCUCGGAAUCCAGAACCAGAAAAACCAGGUUCCCAGAAAAACCCUCAGGAAUGACACGUUUCAACCAAUACUGAGCUCUUGGAUACAAGAUGUCUGUUUAAUAUCAACCACUGCUACAACAGACGCCUGCCUCUGGUUAUGACCGGCGCUCCACGCCAAGGAAGCUCUUGCGGCAGAUCCACCGAACCCUGGCCACUCUCAGUCAAACAAGCAGAGGCCCAGUUCGGGCCUGGGAAGCAGGUGCAGGCGGCAUGCACUCCACCUGCCAGCUCCACACCUGCUGUCUGGAACCCCCACAAAGGCGCGGCCUCUGCCCCUAAGGUUACCCCACCUCCAGGACAGCACUCCUGCUCUUCCUCCUUCCCCUCCGUGUUUUGCCUGCCUCCUUCUUGACAUUCCCCAGAGUAAGCUGCCAGCCCUGCCUCCCGUCAGACACACCUCCUUGCCACUCAGAUGCCACUUAGAGACGUGUCACCCACUCUUUGUGCACUGACCCAAGGCCAAGGUGAAGCUCAGAAUGAACCACCACACUCUUGGGCCACAGUGUGCUGUAUUUUGUGUUUGAAUUUAUGUAAUUUUUUGACUCACACAAAUGUAACUUGGCUACUUGGGAAAUUUCAGAUGCUGCUUUGACAUAAAGAUCACAGGCCACUGAGAUGCCAGCUCUUACCCCUGGAGAUGGCAUUCUUCUUUGCUUCCAGCACAAAGCUCCAUUAGUUUAUGUGUACAGUCAAAAGCCUAAGGGAAUAUGUAAUGAUGGUCUAUCUCAUCUCACCACUUCUCCUCUGAGCUCUUCCUGUGAGCUGUCUGUGACAGCCAUGCAGGUUACGACAAGAAACAACUCCUCUCUCUGCAGGAAGGGAUGCUGCUUUACCAACUGUGUCUUCUCAAAUAUGAUUAUUUAGAUACUUUACUUAAGGGAGUCUGUAUAUUUUUAUCAUGAAACUUGACUUCAUACAACCGAUCAGUGGA